rnacentral:lncRNA from 1 species
AUUUCAGAGGCGGCGGCAGGGGAGGAUUUGGACGAGGGGGUGGCCGCGGAGGCUUUAACAAAGGCCAAGACCAAGGACCUCCAGAACGUGUAGUCUUAUUAGGAGAGUUCCUGCAUCCCUGUGAAGAUGACAUAGUUUGUAAAUGUACCACAGAUGAAAAUAAGGUGCCUUAUUUCAAUGCUCCUGUUUACUUAGAAAACAAAGAACAAAUUGGAAAAGUGGAUGAAAUAUUUGGACAACUCAGAGAUUUUUAUUUUUCAGUUAAGUUGUCAGAAAACAUGAAGGCUUCAUCCUUUAAAAAACUACAGAAGUUUUAUAUAGACCCAUAUAAGCUGCUGCCACUGCAGAGGUUUUUACCUCGACCUCCAGGUGAGAAAGGACCUCCAAGAGGUGGUGGCAGGGGAGGCCGAGGAGGAGGAAGAGGAGGAGGUGGCAGAGGUGGUGGCAGAGGCGGUGGUUUUAGAGGUGGAAGAGGAGGUGGAGGUGGGGGCUUCAGAGGAGGAAGAGGUGGUGGUUUCAGAGGGAGAGGACAUUAAGUGAAACAGUUGACAGACAUCACCAGUUGACUUCUGCAUUAACCUGCAUGAUCUGUUUCUACUAUGGAUUGGAAACUUGUUUCUUGAACAAGUCUUGAAGAUCUUGGUCAUUUUAUGACAAUGGAUCUAAAAUGUCAGCAUCAUGCAAAGUGCAACGGAAUAGUGAAUUUUGCUCUAAAAGAGCAUGAACAAGUCUUUCUAAUGUUUUGUACAGUGCCUGGCACUCUGUGGGUGCUCAAUAAAUGGAUAGGAGUUUUCAUUUGAAGCAUAUUUGAAUUUUUAAAAUAAAGUGUUU